rnacentral:rRNA from 1 species
GGCUCUGGGUCCAACCUCCCACCCGUGUUUAUUUUACCUUGUUGCUUCGGCGGGCCCGCCUUAACUGGCCGCCGGGGGGCUUACGCCCCCGGGCCCGCGCCCGCCGAAGACACCCUCGAACUCUGUCUGAAGAUUGAAGUCUGAGUGAAAAUAUAAAUUAUUUAAAACUUUCAACAACGGAUCUCUUGGUUCCGGCAUCGAUGAAGAACGCAGCGAAAUGCGAUACGUAAUGUGAAUUGCAAAUUCAGUGAAUCAUCGAGUCUUUGAACGCACAUUGCGCCCCCUGGUAUUCCGGGGGGCAUGCCUGUCCGAGCGUCAUUGCUGCCCUCAAGCCCGGCUUGUGUGUUGGGCCCCGUCCCCCGAUCUCCGGGGGACGGGCCCGAAAGGCAGCGGCGGCACCGCGUCCGGUCCUCGAGCGUAUGGGGCUUUGUCACCCGCUCUGUAGGCCCGGCCGGCGCUUGCCGAUCAACCCAAAUUUUUAUCCAGGUUGACCUCGGAUCAGGUAGGGAUACCCGCUGAACUUAAGCAUAUCAAUAAGGCGGAGGAA